rnacentral:rRNA from 1 species
UGGGGGACAACAUCUCGAAAGGGAUGCUAAUACCGCAUACGUCCUACGGGAGAAAGCAGGGGAUCUUCGGACCUUGCGCUAAUAGAUGAGCCUAAGUCGGAUUAGCUAGUUGGUGGGGUAAAGGCCUACCAAGGCGACGAUCUGUAGCGGGUCUGAGAGGAUGAUCCGCCACACUGGGACUGAGACACGGCCCAGACUCCUACGGGAGGCAGCAGUGGGGAAUAUUGGACAAUGGGGGGAACCCUGAUCCAGCCAUGCCGCGUGUGUGAAGAAGGCCUUAUGGUUGUAAAGCACUUUAAGCGAGGAGGAGGCUACUUUAGUUAAUACCUAGAGAUAGUGGACGUUACUCGCAGAAUAAGCACCGGCUAACUCUGUGCCAGCAGCCGCGGUAAUACAGAGGGUGCGAGCGUUAAUCGGAUUUACUGGGCGUAAAGCGUGCGUAGGCGGCUUAUUAAGUCGGAUGUGAAAUCCCCGAGCUUAACUUGGGAAUUGCAUUCGAUACUGGUGAGCUAGAGUAUGGGAGAGGAUGGUAGAAUUCCAGGUGUAGCGGUGAAAUGCGUAGAGAUCUGGAGGAAUACCGAUGGCGAAGGCAGCCAUCUGGCCUAAUACUGACGCUGAGGUACGAAAGCAUGGGGAGCAAACAGGAUUAGAUACCCUGGUAGUCCAUGCCGUAAACGAUGUCUACUAGCCGUUGGGGCCUUUGAGGCUUUAGUGGCGCAGCUAACGCGAUAAGUAGACCGCCUGGGGAGUACGGUCGCAAGACUAAAACUCAAAUGAAUUGACGGGGGCCCGCACAAGCGGUGGAGCAUGUGGUUUAAUUCGAUGCAACGCGAAGAACCUUACCUGGCCUUGACAUACUAGAAACUUUCCAGAGAUGG